UAGCAUGUGUCGUCCUCAAAGUACA
rnacentral:piRNA from 1 species